AGAAAAUGGGCAGAUUUAGGGCAGGUUGAAGUUUUAAAUGCAGCAACCACAUCACCCACAGCCCACUCCUACCAGCACCGGCCGCCAGCAGCCACAUCCGAGGCCGGGGCGAGUGCCAAGCACGCGGCUCUUCCCUGGGCAUCGCCCCCAAAAGGCUCCGGUUGCGACACGGGGCAGAUCCGGCAGCCCCGGGCACGUCCCGUCCCCUCCCAGCGGAGCUGCGGGAGCCGGCAGCGCCUGUCUGUCUGUCCGUCUGUCUGUGCAGGACUGUGCUCGGCCAGCCAUGGGCUCGGCCAGGCUCGUGGUCAUCCUGGGGCUCGCAGCGCUGCUGCCCGCGGAUGCUGCGCCCUGCGGAGCGCAGCGCCCCGACGGCUCCACGGCCUCCAAGCUGCCGGGGAUGUGGCUGUACGUGGCAGGGGCUGCCCAGUUCCCCCAGCACCAGGUGGAGAUGCUGCUCAUCGACCACGCCUUCCUGCGCCUGGAGCCCGGUGCCAGCGGGCAGGAGCUGCUCAUCAGCCACUACGUGGCCGUGGGGGACCAAUGUUUUACCAACAACCUCACCUACCUGGAAGUCACUGCUGGCAACGCCACGCUGGUGAAGGACGCCAAUACCCAGAAAACUGAGGGGAUGCUGAUGAACAUGAGCUCUGAAAACCUUUUGCUCAUCCAGUACCAAAUGCAGAAGGAAAGGACGUAUUUGGGGCAGUAUCUCUACGCCCGGAGCCUGAGCAUAAGCACAGCUGACAAGGAGGAAUUUGAGCAGCACGCCGAGUGCCUGGGGCUGCGGGCAGAGCAGAUCGUUUAUGCACCAUGGAAAACGGAGGUGUGUCAAGUGAAAGUAGCCAAAGGCAGCGACAGCCCACACGCCGAGCCUGUGGCUGCAGUCACAGCAUCACCUGCUCCAGCUACUCCCUGGCCUGGGAGUGCAGGGAACUGACCCCACACAGGGCAAUAAACAUUUCCUUCAAACUACA
rnacentral:lncRNA from 1 species